rnacentral:misc_RNA from 1 species
CAUUAUGAAUUUUUGGAUACUAGUUGCUCUAAACGACUAGAACAUCCAUCUCCUUAUCCUGUGCAACGAAUUUUGUCGACUGGGGUUUGAAAAUAGUCUUUGGGGUUCCUCUCUUAAGGGGGGGGCCUCUUACCUGACCCCAAUAGGCAUUUCACUAUUAAACUACUUUUUAUAACUGAAUCCAACAAAAUUUUUCUUUAUGAAAAAAUUUAACCAAAUGGGUUGUAUAGUUAUCUAUAUCACUUGUUUGAAAAACAACUUUUAGCAAUAUAUCUCUUGGUUCUCCCAUCGAUAAAAAACGUAGCAAACUUCCAUAAUUAGUAUGAAUUGCAUUUAGUGAAUCAUCAAAUCUUUGAACUCACCUUGCACUCACUGGUAUUCCGGUGAGUACGCCUGUUUCAGUAUCAUUGAAAACACACAAUCAAAAAAGGGGGGGUUUUUUUUAUACCCAUUUUUUAUGAAUUGGUUUAGGUUCUAUCAAAAUUUUGCUUUUUUGAAAAAAACCCAACCGGCCUGAAAUAAUUGGUUUGGCUAAUUACAUCUUUAAUAAUCGCUAUUAAACUUUGGCUUUUUUAAAAAAACUUGAGGUUGAUUAACCCACUUUUACCUUUAAUUAAAUGGUAAUUCAAAAUCAAUCUUGGCUAGUUUUCUUAGCACAAAUAAAAAAAUAACCUUGAAAAUUCUUUUUCUUUUUCCUUGGCCAUGCAAAAACAAAACAUAAUCCUUUUUUUAUCAAUUGAAAUUCGGGUGGACUUCCCG